CAGCACUGUUUACCUUAUUUUCAGGUGGCGUUUGCACAGGAGAUGUAUAAUGGUGGGCUUUUAAUGACAGAUGAGCCUUUGGUGCCAAUUGAUUAGCCAAAAGCAAAAAGUCUUGUCAAAUAUGGAAGUCAACAAUAUUUAUCAUUCUUGUGAAAGAUGAGAAUGAAGGCUUUGACAUUUUGGCAUUCUCCAGGCAGUUAGGCCAUUAAUUACAUCAUCAGUCAUUGUAAUUUCUUAAACAAUUUUUUGGUAAAAUGAAAUAUUUAAUUUUGAAUUAUAAAGCUCUUUUUACCAUCUUAGGUAUGUAAUCAAUCAAAACAUCUAUACUAUCAGUAAACUAUAAAAAGUAAAGUUAUUUCUGUUAAUGUCUAUUGCACAUCAAAAUUUUCAAAUAUUAUGGCCUGGAGAUUUUAUGUGUCAUCUUUCAAAAUAUCGUCAGUGUUUUGUAAUUCAGAGCUUUGUGUCAAAUUGUAAUCUACAGAUUAUUAACAAAAGAAAAAUUACCUGAUUUGAAUACAGGCCUAAUUUUGAUUGGAAUACAUAAAAGAACUGUUUUGACAAGUUGGCAAUCCAUCGUAGUAAAGUAAAACGGAACUACAAUAAAUUUGUUUCAUAAAAUGUAAAUUUAUUAGUUGCCGGACAUAGGAAAUUGUAAGUCACUACAACUGGCCAUUUUUUCAACAAGACAGGAGUAAUUUAAGACAGAGAUGAAAAUGCUGAUGAAAUAGAAAUAUGUCUUAAGACUAUGUAAAUGUUGAUUAAAUACAUUUUCUAAUGUGAUUUGUAUAAUAAAAUGUGUUCUUAUUGUUAUUUGAGAUGGGGUUAAAGGUUCUGUAUCAUUUGUUAAGAUGUUGCAUCUAAUAUGGAAAUGAAAAACUGAAGCUCAAGCAAUUUUUUAACCUAUUUGUUAAAAUUUUGGGUUUUAGAAUUGUUUUAAUCUGUCAGUAAAUUAAUUAUAUGCAUAAUAAAAACAUCUCUCUAUCAUAGAAUGUAUAUAAAACACAAUGAAGUGCUAUUCUGUUCUACGAUGCUUGGUUUUCCAUGCAUAUCCUCACAAUUUUGUUUUCAAACGUGCAGAAUAUUUCUCUGUAAAUAAAUAUAUUACUAAAUUGUCAAUUGAAAUACCAAUUUUUUUUAAUAUCCUGCCAAUUAAUAUAAAAUAUUAUCAUCUACGUAUUUGUAAUGUAUAUGUUACAUAAGCAACGGGAAUAAAUGUUCACCAACACAUUACAGUGAAAUUGUAUACAAGAAUAAAAUGAAUUUGUUAAAAGCACAAAUUUACUGAAGUGCAUUUUGCGUAUCCGUGCAUUUAGAAUUUGUUAUGUAGAAAUCCCUAACAAUGUUUUGUAUACUGCUGUUCAAAUAAAAAGAAAUUACAUGCAGCA